GUAAAUCCCACUUUCAGUCUAAUCAUGUAGGAAAAACCUAAAACUGUUCUCUUUUAUAUUAAAGAUAGACUGGUUUUGUGUUGGAACCCUUAUGUGUACCUAGUCUGAGAUAAUCUAAGCUGACUUUAUCAUCCGAGUUUCAUUGAUAAAACUUCCUAGGGCAUUUAGUUCAGUUCUUUGGUUUUUUUCUUUCUUCUGUUUAUGGUUUGGUUAGGUAUUAGGUAAAAAACGUUUAUGAAAUGUUAACUUCAUGAAUGUUAAACGUAUUUCUGAUAUAUAUUUAAUUUAGAAUAGUAUUUUUGAAGAAUUUCCAAUCAUUUUAUUUGGUUGCACUAAGUUUUAUCUUAGUUUGGUUUGGUAUAAGGCUACUAUUAUGGUUUCGCUUGAAAGAAAGUUUGGUGUGGUGUGGUUUUAACGUCCACCCAUGAAGUACUUCACUUAUGUGAUUAGCUUUGAAUGGCUCUGCUUGACACAUCUCUGAUUCUUACAAGUUUUAUGUUGUGUUGCAGCCUAGAGAUAAGUAUGGAAACCAAUGGGUUGAUCCGUACUAUGGAGGACAGUUUUACAAUGGGUAUGGAUACAUGGUACCUCAACCUGACCCGAGAAUGUAUCCCGCUGCACCUUACUAUCCAAUGUACGGUGGUCAUCAGCAACAAGUUAGCUGAGGAAACUAAAAGCUUAAUCUGAGCAUCUAUCUAUAGGACAACAAAAACUCACUCAGGUUAGGUGAUGUUAGGAAGAACAAGGCAAAAAUUGUUGGCUUCUUGUCUCUCCUUGAGUUUAGGGUUUAUCAUCUAGUGGACAUCGAAUUUUUGGUGGAAACCAUACAGUAAUUUAGGGGACUUGGAUUUGAUUGAUUAAUUUUAUUUGUUUCUUCUGAUACUUUUGACUAUGGAAGUUAUUGAUCAAGAAGAAGUGAGUUGCACCAAUUGAUUAUAUCUAUUUUUUGUUAUUAGUCUAAAUACUUAGGUUUUAUUUUGUUGUUGUGUUUGGAGGUAGUUAUCGCCAUCAGGCCACAGCUAAUAAUGAUCCUCAAGUUAGCUUUUAUAUCCUUUAUUAUUUUUAAGGUCUCAAAGCCUCUUUCGACUGUCUCAAUUAGGAGGCGUAUAAACUUAGCUAUUUUGUAUUGGUGGUACACACAUAGUAUUAGAAUAGCUAGAACCUAGAAAGAUCAGAACUUGCAAUGGAAAAGUUGGGCACAAUCCUUAGUAUCACCGCAUAGUUUUAAUACAAUGUCGUCGUAAAUCACAUCCAAUCAAUAAUGAUUCUACGUAAAACCUUUUAUAUAUCUCAGACAUAGAACAUAGUGAAGUAGUAUAUCUUAUACUUUGAAGAAGGAGAAAUCCGAAAAGGCCUGAAAGGCUGGAACAAUGAGAAAUUUUAGGACAGAAAAUUAAACAUUCUGUACAUUAUACAUUAUUUAACAUUUUUAUACAAAGAGUUAUGCAUAUAACAAAUAUAAAUGUUUAAAACCGAUAUUUAAUUUGUGUAAUGCGCCGGCAAAAAAAAAUAAAAAAUUGUGUAAUGUAGAUGUCUAUUGGUUCACACCUACAUCAAGUGCCGAAAGAGGAACAUAAAUCCUUUUCCCUCAACCGUAUCUAAUUAGGUGCUUAAUUUGGUACGUAGUUUUGUUAUAUUUGGUUUGUAGUUUGUUUUUUUUUAUUUGUUUUCUCUAUAAAAAAAAUAUUAUUAAUUUUUUAUAAUGAGUUGGAAUAAGGUGAAUUACACGUAUCAAAAAACGAUAUCGGAAAACAAAACAGAAUCAGAAAAAGGGCUCGAAUCUUGGUAUACCAUCGAAAAGAAACAGCUGUUCAUGAGUUCCGGCGGAUGCAAGGUCCACAACUUCACGAGAGAAUCAAGAGACCGAAAAAAAGCGACGAAAGCAAUCGGUUUCCCUGCUUCCGUGUUAGAAUAUUGAGAGAAAAAGAAAAGACAGAGUAAGAGAUAAAUAUAUAUUCUCUUGUAAAGAAAACAAGAACGAAAAUAGAAAACUUUUAAUGAAUCUGAAACUUGUUAGUUAUUUACAUGACGAUACAAUGAAUAUAUAUAUAUAGAAAACAAGUAGACACAACAACACAAUGAGUUUUGUCUCUUCCUACUUGUGGAUCUCCUGACAUAUAACUAUCUUAAUACAUAAAACUUUAAUAUAAUCAGAAACUCAAUUAUCGACCAACAUUCCCCCUUAAUUGAGUUUCUGAUUUACUUCAAACUUCUUCCUUUGUUCUUCUCUUUGUUACACAAUUUGAUACUCUUUGUCAAUUUUGUUUCUUCUGCAAGACAAUUGAACUUGUGGCCUUUCUCUUACCACCGGUAUUUCUCCAUGUCUUUGAGGUAAGCAUCUUCUUAUGCUCCAUUUUUUCUCCGAGGUAAGCAUCCUCUUACUCUCCAUUUUUUCUUUGAGGUAAGAAUCCUCUUGUGCUCCAUUUUUCACUGAGGUAAGCAUCCUCUUAUGCUCCAUUUCUCUUUGAGAAAAGCAUCCUUUUGUGCUCCAUUUUUCUCGGAGGUUAACAUCCUCUUAUGCUCCAUUUUUUUUUUGAGGUAAGCAUCCUCUUGUGCUUCAUUUUUUUUCCGAGGUAUGUAUCUGUUAUGCUCCCAUUUUUCUCUAAGGUAAACAUCCUCUCUUGCUCCAUUUUUCUCUGAGGUAAGCGUCCUCUUAUGCACCAUUUUUUCUAUGAGUUAAGCAUCCUCCUUUCUUGCUUGGUGUUUCUCUUUGAUCACAAUCACGUCUUUGUGACGUCUCUUCUUCGAUUAACCUUUUUGCUGAGUAGCCUUGCACUAUUCUUCCAACAGAAACUUACUCCGUGUUGUAGUCUUCUUCACAACUCAACCACACCUUUUGUUAGUAAGCUGAUACGUUCAUGAGAAGAAGCUGGAGUAAUGAGUUGGGACGUGAGAACACACGUGAGAGAUUGGAGUCACGUGUGAAGAAACUUAUAAAUAGUAAGAGAGAGUAGAGAGAAAAGUAUCCUGCGUGAUCAUUGAUGUGUAAAGAGGAUUAAAGCUUUGUGUGCUCUGUUCUUUGGAGAUAAGAGUGGAGAACUGUAACUCCAAGCUUAUCAAUUUAGGGUUUUGAUUCAUUGUAAUGGGAUUUUAAGGAUAAGAAAGAGAGAUUCAUAGUUUCAUUCUUAUCAUAAGCCUUGCUCUGUUUCUUACAACAGGCGACUUCCUUCUCCGUCUUGUUUCAGUUGGAUUCUCAACUUCAUCAAGUGAUGCUUCUUUGCAUGCUUGAACUUCACCAAGACAUUGUUGAACAAAGUUUCAGAAUUCUCCUUCCACAACUCCAAAUCCUCAUCCAUUUCUCCCUUGCCUUUAGAGAAGCUUUCCUAUCUUCUUCAUCCCUUUUUGGAGCCUUCCUCUUGAAGGUACGAUAUGUGAAACUGUUUGUAAUUGAUUGUACUCUCUCCUAUUCUUUUCUUCCUUUUUUUGUUUCUUCUUCUUCUACUUUUUAUUUUUCUUUUUUUCUCUUCGGUUUCUCACCGUUGAUUUGUUGUCUCCUUCUUUCUCUUCUUCUCACAGCGGAAUUCUUGUUAUCCAUUUUUUACUUGGACAUGCUCCAAGACCAAGAUAAGCUUUGAUACCAUGUUGGAAUAUUGAGAGAAAAAGAAAAAAUUGAGUAAGAGAUAAAUAUCUCUUCUCUUGUGAAGAAGACAAGAACGAAAAUAGAAAACUUUUAAUGAACCUGAAACUUAUUAGUUAUUUACAUGACGAUACAAUGAGUAUAUAUAGGAAACAAGUAGACUCAACAACACAAUGAGUUGUGUCUCUUCAUACUUGUGUCUCUUCCUACUUGUGUCUCUUGACAAAUAACUACCUUAAUACAUAAAAUUUUAAAUCAGAAACUCAAUUAUCGACCAACACUCUGACCCACCAAUCCAGUACAAACCUCCGAAAAGGAGUAGCUAUUCGACAACCGACGUGUCCGUCUUCCAAUCUCGUUCCUAGCAACCAGACGAACUCAGAUUUAUCCUCUUUUUCUCCGAUCCGAUUAGGAGGAAGCGAAUUGUGGGAGAAACCAAGGUUGAUGGCUCAAGCAAGUACUGAGAAUCCAAAAUCCACAAAAGCUUUCUAAAAUCAAAGUGGAUCUACAAUUAACCUCCAUGACGAGUAGUAGUGAAAGCAAGAUUUUUUGGUUGUUUGGAGAUAGUUUCUAAUGAUCUAUAUUAACAUUUUAGAAAUACAUUUUAAGGAAUCCAAUCGGGUGAGUUGGAUCUUGCCUAAUUUCUACAAAAACAGAAGAUACUUACUAUAAAUUAAUGAUAGUUCAAAAUCAAAGUGUAAUAUUUAGUUUGUCUUUCAAUAAGUUUUAAUCAGUUAGAAUAAAUUUUUAAAUUGACUCGAAUUACAUAUAUUUUAAAUAAAAAUAUUAUUAUAAAAAAGAACAAAAUGAUGUUUAGUUAUUAUGGGAUGGGUUAUUAUUGUGAGAUAGGUUUAGAUGAGACAUGUUUUUAAGACGGGAUGGAUUUAGAUGAGACAGUUUUUUUUUUUUUUUUUUAACAUCUUCUUUUCCAUUGUUAUUAUGAUCAAAAGUUUUCCAGCUGUAAGGCUGAAGAAAUUACAAUCGGAAUGUAAUCAUAAAAUUUAAAUUGUUCAUUCUGGGGUAAGUGACUCUUGGCAAGAAUAUCCGCCGGUUUGUUCUGUUUUCGGUUGAUCCAUGUGAAUCUGCAUUCCUGAAACCGUUGCUUCCAAGCUUGAACAUCUCUUAUCCAAUUAAAGGUAUCAAAACGUGAUUUUCUCCUAUUGAGGAUUUCCAUCACCUCCCUGUUAUCUCCUUCAAACCAGAUUUUUCUAUGACCGUGGCUCCAACAGCUUUGCAUUGCGAUAAGAAGAGCUUGAAACUCGCUUUCUAGAGCAUUAGAAGUGUGGUUCCCUGUCGCUUGACCUGCACCUACAAAUUGGCCCGACUCAUCUCGAAUUACCCAUCCAGCCUUACUUGGCAUCUCCCGAUUGUACGAUCCAUCAUAGUACAACAACAACUUAACAAACUAUCUGCAACAACUCCCGCUAUGGAUCUUUUGGCGCUUAUGGAAGAGUCGAAAUAUUCUAACUUUUCAGAAAAGGUGCAUUCCAUGGGACGAUAAUCUUCGAUUAGCAAAGAGAGACGCUUCUGAAUGGCAGGACAUUGCGGAUCACCCCCAACUAUCAGCACCAUCCCACCGGCGACAACAUGAUGAUCAGAGAACAAGCUGUUGGACAAGACCACCCCACGGCUGAAAGAAGGAGACAGGUUUAUAUGGCGGGAUGAGUUUUGAUCGAUAUUAAUAUGAGACAUCUCAAUAAAAUUCAAUAUUAUAGUAUAUCAAAAUAAAUGCUAAUCUUUUUUGACACAUCUAAAUGUGUAUUUGUAAUACAAAGUUACUAAAUUACGUAUGUUCUACGAGUUAAAUCUAAAAGCAUCGAAAAUUUAAAUUAUAUAAUUUUAAUACAAAAUUAAUAAAUAGAAAAUAAAAUAUUGUCAUGUGGUAUACUUUUGGUCAAGUCCUAAAAAAUAAAAAAAUAUGAAACUUAUUAAUAUCGUAAACUUACGACUCAUUAAAAACCAUACACAAACUUAUCAAAAAUUAUUAACCAACACAAAUAACCAUAAUCUAAUAUAUAACAAAUUCUAAUUUUAUAAAAAUUAAAAAAUAAAUAAAAUAUUUAACAUGCAGUGUAUUUCAGAUUAUAUCCUAAUUUGUUAUCAAUAGACGAAGAAAUUGUUAUGUUUCAAAAAAAAAUCUUUAGCAAAUAAAAAAAGGAAGCUGAAAAAUAAGUUAGAAGUCCAAAUUAAUAAGCCGGUUGCAUGAAAAAAGAAGUCAGAAAAAAAGGAAAGUACAACAUCGGAGAGAAUCUAAAAACAAACACUCAUAAUAGCAGUAUAUAACAAACAAACAAAAAAAAAAAAAAACGGUUAAGAUCUAAACUCUCUCCGUACAAUCCAACGGUUGUCACUAAACUAGGAUGGCUUUAAACCUAGUAACUCACAUAAACCCAAAAACCGGACCCGUAUUUGCCAGUUACCACCGAAACCGAAUCAAAAACCCUUAAUUUCGACCUAAACUUUGCCAUAUUAAUACAACUCUCAAAACACAACUCUCAAAACUUCCCCUGUUUGGUCCGAAACCGAAACUACUAACCCUAAUCUCUCACAUCACAUAAACAAUCACUUCACAUAGCCGCAAAAUUUAAUGGCAGACGUCAAGGUUCAAUCCGAAUCCGAAUCCUCGGAUUCUCAUCCCUUGGUCGACUAUCAAUCACUUCCACCUUAUCCUCCGCCGCAUCCACCGGUUGAAGUAGAGGAGAAUCAACCAAAAACAUCUCCGACUCCGCCGCCGCCACACUGGAUGCGUUAUCCACCGGUGUUAAUGCCUCAGAUGAUGUACGCGCCGCCGCCACCGAUGCCGUUCUCACCUUAUCAUCAAUAUCCGAAUCACCACCACUUUCACCAUCAAUCUCGUGGUAAUAAGCAUCAAAACGCUUUUAAUGGUGAGAAUAAAACUAUUUGGGUUGGUGAUUUGCAAAACUGGAUGGAUGAGGCUUAUCUUAAUUCUGCUUUUACUUCCGCCGAAGAGGUUUGCUUCUCUCUCUCUCUCUCUGUCAUUAUUGCAAAACAUUUAUGUAUCUCUUGAUUAGUGUCUUAGAUUGUGUAUUAACAGUUUCUUGAUUCUGUUUCGUUGACUUUUAAUGCUUUGACAUGCCUUUUUCAGUUUCUCUAUGUACUUGUUGGUAAAGUUUGCUCUGUUUUUUUCUUUCUUUGUGAAUUUGGUCUAAAGGUGUGUACUUUAUGUUUAAUGCAGAGAGAGAUUGUUUCGCUGAAGGUGAUUCGUAAUAAGCACAAUGGUUCAUCGGAAGGAUAUGGAUUUGUGGAGUUUGAGUCCCAUGAUGUAGCUGAUAAGGUUUUGCAGGAGUUUAACGGGGCGCCUAUGCCAAAUACUGACCAACCUUUUCGUUUGAACUGGGCUAGUUUUAGCACCGGUGAGAAGCGGUUAGAGAACAAUGGACCUGAUCUCUCUAUAUUUGUUGGGGAUUUGGCGCCAGAUGUUUCGGAUGCUUUGUUGCACGAGACCUUCUCUGAGAAGUAUCCGUCGGUUAAAGCUGCCAAAGUUGUCCUUGAUGCUAAUACUGGUAGAUCAAAGGGGUAUGGGUUUGUGAGGUUUGGAGAUGAGAAUGAAAGGACCAAAGCAAUGACUGAGAUGAAUGGUGUUAAAUGCUCUAGUAGAGCUAUGCGUAUCGGUCCUGCUACCCCAAGGAAAACUAAUGGUUAUCAACAACAAGGUAAGUUCUCUCCAAUGCAAUAUCUUUGUGUAUCUAUGCUCAUGUUAGGUUCUUGGUAUUGCAACAAUAUGUUUUAAGUCUCUUGUGUACAUAACUAUUUGAUGGAUCUGGUAGGUGGAUACAUGCCGAGUGGUGCCUUUACGCGUUCUGAAGGGGACACAAUCAACACAACAGUAAUUUUUUUUUUCAUAGUAUCUUUCAUUUGAUUGUGUGACAAGAGAAGGUUGAUCUUCUUUUUAUUUUAUUUUAAACAUAGAUAUUUGUUGGAGGGCUUGACUCUAGUGUCACUGAUGAAGACUUAAAGCAACCUUUCUCUGAAUUCGGGGAAAUAGUGUCUGUCAAGAUUCCUGUUGGUAAAGGAUGCGGAUUUGUUCAGUUUGUUAACAGGUAACAUAUAAUUGCCUUAUCUAACCAUGGAUUAAGUAGUUUCUCACGGUAAUAGAUUUGAUGUUUUAAACAUUUGGUUGCAGACCAAAUGCAGAGGAGGCUUUGGAAAAACUCAAUGGGACUGUAAUUGGCAAACAAACAGUCCGGCUUUCUUGGGGCCGUAAUCCAGCCAAUAAGCAGGUAAAUCCCACUUUCUAUCUGCAUUAGUGUAGAACAAACGUAUCAAAAUGUUCUCUUUUUUAUAGUAAUGUUCAUAAAAUGUUAAACGCCUUGUGAUACAUAUUUAAUUUAAAAUAUUGUGGUUCAUUUGCUUUGUUUGAUCUUAGUUUGGUUUGGUUAUGGAUUGGUAUAAGACUACUGUUAUGGUUUCUCUUUGAAAGAAAGUUUGGUUUGCUGUGGUUUUUACCCCCUAAAGUACUUCACUUAUGUGAUUAGCUUUGAAUGGCUCUGCUUGACACAUCUCUGAUUCUUACAAGUUUUAUGUUGUGUUGCAGCCUAGAGAUAAGUAUGGAAACCAAUGGGUUGAUCCGUACUAUGGAGGACAGUUUUACAAUGGGUAUGGAUACAUGGUACCUCAACCUGACCCGAGAAUGUAUCCUGCUGCACCUUACUAUCCAAUGUACGGUGGUCAUCAGCAACAAGUUAGCUGAGGAAACUAAAAGCUUAAUCUGAGCAUCUAUCUAUAGGACAACAAAAACUCACUCAGGUUAGGUGAUGUUAGGAGGUAUAAGGCAAAAGUGGUUGGCUUCUUGUCUCUACUUGAGUUUAG
rnacentral:lncRNA from 1 species